rnacentral:rRNA from 1 species
UACGAAGGGGGCUAGCGUUGCUCGGAAUCACUGGGCGUAAAGGGUGCGUAGGCGGGUCUUAAGUCAGGGGUGAAAUCCUGGAGCUCAACUCCAGAACUGCCUUUGAUACUGAGGAUCUUGAGUUCGGGAGAGGUGAGUGGAACUGCGAGUGUAGAGGUGAAAUUCGUAGAUAUCGCAAGAACACCAGUGGCGAAGGCGCUCACUGGCCCGAUACUGACGCUGAGGCA